UUAGUUUUCUUCGAAUAUGGCCCUAAAAUUUGGGGUAUUAUUAGGGUUUGGGUAUUUUAGGGUCGGCCCAUUGACACUCUGGGCCGACCCAUCUCCCUCUCUCAGUCUCUCUUCCCUUCUCUCUCCCCUCUCUUCUCUGGCGCGCUACGCAGAGCGUGAAGAAAAAACCUAGAUCUCUCUCCGAUCGGCGACGAAACCGAUCGCUUCCCUUUGUCGUGAGCCUCAGCAGCCGAGCAAGCAGGUGAGCGAUAUCUCUCCGCCGUGAAGCCGUCGCAGCUGCUCGUGUAUAUGGAACGGUCUGCGCGCUGAGGACCGGAUCCGGGGGCGGCAAAGUCCGGAGUUGGGAGGCGCUGGGCUCGGACAUCGUACGGAGGCCGAUUGUGUGGCCAGCGAAGGAUUUGGCCAGUGAUUCGGUGGCCGCGCGAGCUCUGACGAAUGGCAGGUUUUGUACACGACCCAAGUAACUCAAGAGGCCAAGAAAUACCACGAUGGUUUUUUGCAGCUUGAAGUUCGCGGAUCCUUAGGGCGGCCGGUCAUUCCAAAGCACUUUCAAGGACGCUUUCAUCCUCAAGCAACUGUUUUUUCAUUAAACUUCGCUGGCCACUUUGUUUGCUGAUCCAACAUGAUGCACUUCUGUUUUUUGGAUAGUGGCUCAUUAUGUGCUCCAACUAUCACACUAAUUCAAGUGCAUUUCACUACCCAAAAAAGUUCAAAGGCCUUUCACACCCCUUAUUUAUAGUUCCUGGAAUUACUUUUCUGCUCAUUGUUUUCUUCCCCUUGGAUCAUUCAGGUCACACUGUAUGAUGCUAGCAGGAAAGUCUUGUUGAAUAAAUUUCUCAGGAAA